CAAUUCAGAGCUUGGUGAGUAAAGCAUCUCAUUUACACUGAGAAGUUGUCGUGCGAAUCGGCUUGAUUUGA
rnacentral:tRNA from 1 species